rfam:Oryza glaberrima chromosome 8 Oglab08_unplaced136_1, whole genome shotgun sequence.
AAUAUUUAACGCCGUUGACUUUUUUAAACAUGUUUGACCGUUCGUCUUAUUCUAAAAAUUUAAGUAAUUAUUAAUUAUUUUCUUAUCAUUUGAUUUAUUGUUACAUAUACUUUUAUGUAUACAUAUAGUUUUACAUAUUUCACAAAAGUUUUUAAAUAAGACGAACGGUCAAACAUGUUUAAAAAAGUCAACGGCGUCAAAUAUU